rnacentral:rRNA from 1 species
GACGAACGCUGGCGGCGUGCUUAACACAUGCAAGUGGAGCGACGAACCAGGCUUCGGCCUGGGGCAGAGCCGCGAACGGGUGAGUAACACGUGGGUAACGUGCCCCGAUGACCGGGACAACCCGGGGAAACCCGGGCUAAUACCGGAUAUGCUCCCGCCACACCAGUGGCGGGUGGAAAGGAAGCUUCGGCCUCCGCAUCGGGAUCGGCCCGCGGCCCAUUAGCUUGUUGGUGAGGUAACGGCUCACCAAGGCCGCGAUGGGUAGCUGGUCUGAGAGGACGAUCAGCCACACGGGGACUGAGACACGGCCCAGACUCCUACGGGAGGCAGCAGUGGGGAAUCUUGCGCAAUGCGCGAAAGCGUGACGCAGCAACGCCGCGUGGGGGAAGAAGGCCUUCGGGUUGUAAACCCCUUUCAGGAGGGACGAAGCCACUCGGGUUAACAGCCCAGAGGGUGACGGUACCUCCAGAAGAAGCCCCGGCUAACUACGUGCCAGCCGCCGCUGUAAUAC